GCUAAGCUGCAACUGACAUUGAGGCUCGAAAGUGUGGGUAGCAAACAGGAUUAGAUACCCUGGUAGUCCACACGGUAAACGAUGAAUACUCGCUGUUUGCGAUAUACUGCAAGCGGCCAAGCGAAAGCGUUAAGUAUUCCACCUGGGGAGUACGCCGGCAACGGUGAAACUCAAAGGAAUUGACGGGGGCCCGCACAAGCGGAGGAACAUGUGGUUUAAUUCGAUGAUACGCGAGGAACCUUACCCGGGCUUAAAUUGCAAAGGAAUGAUUUGGAAACAGAUCAGUCUUCGGACCUUUGUGAAGGUGCUGCAUGGUUGUCGUCAGCUCGUGCCGUGAGGUGUCGGCUUAAGUGCCAUAACGAGCGCAACCCUUGUUGUCAGUUACUAACAGGUUCCGCUGAGGACUCUGACAAGACUGCCAUCGUAAGAUGUGAGGAAGGUGGGGAUGACGUCAAAUCAGCACGGCCCUUACGUCCGGGGCUACACACGUGUUACAAUGGGGGGUACAGAAGGCAGCUACACGGCGACGUGAUGCUAAUCCCGAAAGCCUCUCUCAGUUCGGAUUGGAGUCUGCAACCCGACUCCAUGAAGCUGGAUUCGCUAGUAAUCGCGCAUCAGCCACGGCGCGGUGAAUACGUUCCCGGGCCUUGUACACACCGCCCGUCAAGCCAUGGGAGCCGGGGGUACCUGAAGUGCGUAACCGCGAGGAGCGCCCUAGGGUAAAACUGGUGACUGGGGCUAAGUCGUAACAAGGUAGCCGUACCGGAAGGUGCGGCUG
rnacentral:rRNA from 1 species